rnacentral:misc_RNA from 1 species
GAUGAAGAACGUAGCGAAAUGCGAUAAGUAAUGUGAAUUGCAGAAUUCAGUGAAUCAUCGAAUCUUUGAACGCACAUUGCGCCCCCUGGCAUUCCGGGGGGCAUGCCUGUUCGAGCGUCAUUACAACCCUCAAGCUCUGCUUGGUGUUGGGCUCUGCUGGGACCGGCAGGCCUUAAAAUCAGUGGCGGCGCCACUCGGCUUCAAGCGUAGUAAUUCUUCUCGCUUCGGAGACCCGGGUGCGUGCUAGCCAGCAACCCCCAACUUUCUUAGGUUGACCUCGGAUCAGGUAGGGAUACCCGCUGAACUUAAGCAUAUCAAUAAGCGGAGGA